UUUACACACAGUGUUAAUUAAUCUCUUCUAUUCACUGGAUUUCAAGGAAAGGAUUUAUGUAUUCAACAGCGUGAACAGCAAAGUAAAUUUUAAAUCUUUGAUCUUGGUAAACUGUUUUCUCAGUGAAAUUCAAUCCAGUAGAUGAUAUGGAAAGAUUUAAAAGUAAAGCAAAGCUGAUGGUAAAAAAUUUCAUCGCCAAAAUAUUGACGCAGUGAGAAAAGUGCAUUAUCUUAGGAUGUUUUUUUAUUUCCACUUUACACAGUUAAGGAAAAGUAUACAAUGUCAAAUCAGAGUUACGUUAGAAUGUCCAGAAUAGGAGAAAUUGUAAAAAGAAAGAAAAGAAAGCAAAACAAGAAAAGAAGCUGACAAAACAUUAAUUCAGUUUUCAUUCUUAAAGCUUUUGUAUACAUGAGUUCCAACAUUUUUUGCAUCUUCUUCUGACAAGUAGAUGAGGAUGACAAACAAAAGUACAUGAGCAUUUGGUAAACAAACAAGUAAAAUGUUUGAAUAUAAAUAUUGUGAACAAGCAAGAAGACAAAUACAAAGACAAAGACUUGAAGAGAAAACUCAGCAAAAUGAAAUCCAGGAGAGAAAAAAAUAAACCAACCAAAAGGUUUAUUUACCAUACAAGAAUAAGAUUUAAUCAAGUUUUAAAUGGUUAAAACAAUUGUCUAAUGAUUAAAAUGAAAUUUAAAUGUUGAAAAAGCCCAACAAAAAGCGUAGGUUUUGAAAGUAUCUUGAAACAGAUAGAAUUGAAGAUCAAGAACAAUCAAGAUAAUUUUGAUUACUCUACUUUAAUUGAAAUACACAAAAAAUAAGCCAAA